rnacentral:misc_RNA from 1 species
UUAAGUUCAGCGGGUAUUCCUACCUGAUCCGAGGUCAACCAUUAAAAAUUGGGGGGUUUAGCGGCUGGGAGCUGCAGCACCUAACAAAAGCGAGAUAAAAAUUACUACGCUCAGAGGAUACCACAGAUCCGCCGUUGAAUUUGAGGAGUUACAUAACUGUAAGCUCCCAAUACUAAGCUAGGCUUAAGGGUUGAAAUGAC